rnacentral:rRNA from 1 species
UACGAAGGGGGCUAGCGUUGCUCGGAAUCACUGGGCGUAAAGCGCACGUAGGCGGCUUUCUAAGUCAGGGGUGAGAUCCGUGGAGCUCAACUCCAGAACUGCCUUUGAUACUGGAGAGCUUGAGUCCGGAAGAGGUGAGUGGAACUCCGAGUGUAGAGGUGAAAUUCGUAGAUAUUCGGAAGAACACCGGUGGCGAAGGCGGGUCUCUGGGCCGAAACUGACGCUGAGGAGCGAAAGCGUGGGGAGCAAACAGG